rnacentral:lncRNA from 1 species
GUUUUGUACAUAAGGUUCCGAGUGACCUUAAAUUUUGAGUUAUUUAUUUAAAAUUUAAGCUUAUUUAUUUAAUCCCAAUUUAAUACGUAUUGCUAAUUGCUAGAGGGUUCACAAUAUCGUCAAGCCAUGUUUGCAUGUUUCAAAAUGUUUUAUGGUUUGAUAUAAAAUUGAAGUAGUCUCAGUCAACGUACAUAUAUUUGCUUUUAAGAGCUGACAAUAUAUACGUGCUGCAUGCAUACCUGUUAGUCUUAAAUUGUGUGAAAAAUAAUUUCUUGCCAUGCAGGGAUCUGGGGGAGUUUGGGAAGUCUUUGAGAGCCUACACGGCUACCUUACUGAAACACCCAGUCCAGGAAUCCCCGAAGAUUCUGAUGAUGAUGAAGAGAGACAGGAAGAGGAGGAAAGUGACCGGGUUGUUGACAUGUAAUUUAAUUAAUUGUCAAUAAGCAUUUAAUUUAAAGUGAAGUGGUGUCAAUGACCGUUUCCUAAAUGUAAUUUGCAACUGCAACGCACUUGUUUAUGGCUAACACGAUCAGGGUGGCAAAGUAGGGGUCUAGUUAUCCAUCCAUCCCAACCCAUACUGUUGGGUUGUCUAAUCCUAACCCUAACUCCAAUCUGCAAGGUGCUCUUUUGCAUGUACAAUUAACUCUUGAAAUUGAUCACAUGAUAAGUUGUUGUGCCAGUUUGCAAAGCGGAUGUUUUGGCAACUCAGGUAGUUUAGUUAAUUGUACCAUCCACUGUCUCCAAAAUCAUUUUCAACCUUAGUAGUACCAAAAAUUAUUAUUCAUGCUCACUUUCUUGAUAGAAAUCUUGACCUCAUUAUCUAAUUGUUUAAUAGAAAUAUGUAUUAGCAUGAGGUGUUGAAGUAAUGAUGGCCCAAGCAAAGAGAAUUUUCAUUUUGAACAUCAAAGUAAGCAACAGAGUUAUCAAUAAGGGCUGUACCCCGUAGCACCGGUUACGGCUGAACAUGUUGGAUGGGUCCUUGAUGUUAUGGUUGAACUUUGCUGUUGUAGGUUCGAUUCAUCCAUAAAGUAACAAAUUUGUGACAGGUGUGGAGAUCAAGGCUACAGUUGAAUGAAAACUUAAUGACAGCCAUGAGCAAGUUGUUUUCUUUUUUUAAGUCUUGGUACUUUCUAAAUGAAAUAGAAAACAUGUUCUCCAUGAUUCCAUUGAUUUAUAGAACCACUCAUGAAAAUUUUGAAGAACUUGAAAAAUGUUAGAAACACUCGGCUAAUGGCUCCUGUUCCAACAACAUUUCUAGUUCUCCCAAACGUUCACUCAUGCUUCCAUAACUUGAUAGAAAAAUUGUACUGCUUAAUUUGUAUUGCUUAAUUGUAUAGUGGUGAUAAAAUAGUGUAUGACUUAGCAAUUUUAAUGUUUUUAAAUUGAGUCAUUGUUUAAUUAAUUAUCAUUUCUUUGUUAAUUUCAUUCAUUUUAAGAACAAAGUCAAUACUUAAUGUGGUUUUAUAGAGAUCUCUUGUCAUGAGUUGAUUUUGUUUUGGACAGGUUCUUUCCUUUACCAGAAAUUUGGCUGGUUUGGUAAGGCAAAAUUUUCAGGGUAUUCCAAUUUCAGCUCAGGGACAAUCAAAUGAAUCAGCUGUCCUAGCUUUAAGCACUGGGAGCAACCCAAAGGGGCAGGUUUACAAUUUCAAUGUGGUGCUACUGGAUCCCAGUGAUGAUUCAAUUCCCAGGGGUACUGUCAGGCAAGAUCUUCUUAACACUGGCAGGAUUGUCCAGAUAUCUUUGGGUAGGAGAACACAAGAAGCAGGAGCACUGAGAGCCCUGAAUGGUGCCCUCCCUUUCCUACACUGUACAAAACAGGUUUUAUUAAUUCUGAACCUAUUAAUGUUUUCUAACAACAGUUUCAUAUAACAGAAAAAUGCAUCAGCCACAUUGAUAACAUUUGAUGAUAACUGUGGUAACCUGGCAGUAUGUAUAUUGGUUUUAAAAAUAAGAUUAGUCCAGCCAAGACAAGAAGAUCAGAAUCCAAUUAAAGACGGGCUCCAAUGGACAAAUUCUAUGGAAACUAUUUAAAACAAUCACCUUGUUUUCAGCAAUUUUUUUUCAGCUCUGUAGUAUUGGUCUGCAGUACAAAAUAAAUUGAAAUGCUUUUAAUCAUGGGUAAUAUCACUGUGCCUUUUGCCUGGAGAGUACUGCUUUGUAAUUCUCGCGACUGAUAAAAGCUCAAGAAAUGUGUUGAUCCCUGCUGUCCGGCCAUCUUCAGGGUUUUCUGCCAGGGAAUGGAAGAAAGUGUGUGGCCAGGGUACACUGUACCUGCGCUUAAUAGAGAGCAGCCCUAGUGAUCAUGAGGAUCGGCCACCUAGACCAUCGGCAUCACGAGGAGGUGGGUGUGAAUUUGUUAUAUCAAUUGAAUAAUGUAUGUAAAUCAGUAUUAAAAUUCUGAUGCUGCAAUGUCAAGUAAAAUAACUAUGGCUACUCAGAUGGCAGGGUUUAAA